UCCGGAUUUAUUGGGCGUAAAGGGAGCGCAGGCGNUCAGGAAAGUCUGGAGUAAAAGGCUAUGGCUCNACCCAUAGUGUGCUCUGGAAACUNUCUGACUUGAGUGCAGAAGGGGAGAGUGGAAUUCCAUGUGUAGCGGUGAAAUGCGUAGAUAUAUGGAGGAACACCAGUGGCGAAAGCGGCUCUCUGGUCUGUCACUGACGCUGAGGCUCGAAAGCGUGGGUAGCGAACAGGAUUAGAUACCCUGGUAGUCUACGCCGUAAACGAUGAGUGCUAGGUGUUAGGCCCUUUCCGGGGCUUAGUGCCGGAGCUAACGCAAUAAGCACUCCGCCUGGGGAGUACGACCGCAAGGUUGAAACUCAAAGGAAUUGACGGGGGCCCGCACAAGCGGUGGAGCAUGUGGUUUAAUUCGAAACAACGCGAAGAACCUUACCAGGUCUUGACAUCCCGAUGCUAUUCUUAGAGAUAGGAAGUUACUUCGGUACAUCGGAGACAGGUGGUGCAUGGUUGUCGUCAGCUCGUGUCGUGAGAUGUUGGGUUAAGUCCCGCAACGAGCGCAACCCUUAUUGUUAGUUGCCAUCAUUAAGUUGGGCACUCUAGCGAGACUGCCGGUAAUAAACCGGAGGAAGGUGGGGAUGACGUCAAAUCAUCAUGCCCCUUAUGACCUGGGCUACACACGUGCUACAAUGGUCGGUACAACGAGUUGCGGGCCGGUGACGGCAAGCUAAUCUCUGAAAGCCGAUCUCAGUUCGGAUUGGAGGCUGCAACUCGCCUCCAUGAAGUCGGAAUCGCUAGUAAUCGCGGAUCAGCACGCCGCGGUGAAUACGUUCCCGGGCCUUGUACACACCGCCCGUCACACCACGAGAGUUUGUAACACCCGAAGUCGGUGAGGUANCCUU
rnacentral:rRNA from 1 species